GUUGUGGCUCAUUGGCAGAGCGCUUGCCUAGCAUGUGUGAGGCACUGGGUUCGAUUCUCAGUACACA
rnacentral:tRNA from 1 species